rnacentral:rRNA from 1 species
UUGAAAGGGAAACGAUUGAAGUCAGUCAUGCUUGCGGGGAAUCAACAUGGUGGUUUUCUUCCUUGUGCACUUCCUUGCUUGGCAGGUUAGCAUCAAUUUUGAUUGUCAUUAAAGAACCGGGGUAAUGUGGCUUCUUCGGGAGUGUUAUAGACCUUGGUAGAUGUGGCGAUCGGGAUUGAGGAUUGCAGCGAAUGCUUCUUGGCUAGUCACCUGGCUUCUGACGGUUACCUUGCUUCCGAUAGCUUGCUAACGGUGGUGAGAUUUGAUUGUCUAGAUGUUAGUGUGAUCAUAAAUUCGCUAAGGAUGCUGACGUAAUGGCUUUAAACGACCCGUCUUGAAACACGGACCA